rnacentral:rRNA from 1 species
UACGGGGGGGGCAAGCGUUGUUCGGAAUUACUGGGCGUAAAGGGCUCGUAGGUGGCCAACUAAGUCGGACGUGAAAUCCCUCAGCUUAACUGGGGAACUGCGUCCGAUACUGGAUGGCUUGAGUUUGGGAGAGGGAUGCGGAAUUCCAGGUGUAGCGGUGAAAUGCGUAGAUAUUGGGAAGAACACCAGUGGCGAAGGCGGCUCACUGGCCCGGUACUGACGCUGAGGUGCGAAAGCGUGGGGAGCAAACAGG